rnacentral:lncRNA from 1 species
CAUAGGCCAGCUGAUUUAAUAAUUUAAGAAAGAACUGUUAUCCUGAGUAAGGAGCAUAGAGACAAAUAUAAAAUGAACGCACUCUACCUGAUUAUAGUCUUCUGGUGAAGAUCUUGCUGUUAUCUCUGUGAAUCAGGAGAGAAGAGAUUGAUGAAUAGACGAGAUUGGAUUUGGUCAUUUCCCCAAGGUGAAGAGCAUGGCGAUUUCUUCUGUGGUAAGGAGCAAUAGUGAAGACCAUGGUUGAUUUAAUCAGUCUCUGCUGAUGAAGAUCUUGGCUGUUACCUUUGUGUAAUGAAUGCGCAGUGAUUCAAUUAUUCUCCAGCGAGGAAGAUCAUGGUUGUUGUCUGUUUGAGUAAUGAGUGUAGAAACCUACGUAAGUAACAAAGUGAUUGCUUUUGCUUUAGUGGUUGUUAAGAGAGUUAAGUCUUUCUGGAAAGGAAUAAAUGACUACGUAUACAAAUAAA